CCGCGCUAGAUGGGGAGAUAGCGGUGCCCUGUACCCGCAAUCCGCUAUAGCGGGGUUGAAUUCCUGUCCCCGGUUGUUCAGUUUUGGGGUCAGCGCCUGGUAAGUGGUGUUGAGGGCUCGGUCCCGUGCGGCGCAGACUCAUGAACCCCGUCAGGUCCGGAAGGGAGCAGCGGUAAGUGAGAAUAUGCGGGUGCCACGGGAGUGCCGGGCUGGAGCUAACUGCCCGGUCAGCGCCUGGAAUUGACGGUCAAAGGCAGGUGCGCGG
rnacentral:SRP_RNA from 1 species